ACUGCCUGCCCAGUGACCAAGGUUAAACGGCCGCGGUAUUCUGACCGGCAAAGGUAGCAUAAUCACUUGUUCCUUAAUUAGGGACUAGAAUGAACGGCAAAACGAGGGUUUAACUGUCUCUUAUUUCUUAUCAGUGAAAUUGACCUUCCCGUGAAGAGGCGGGAAUACCAAAAUAAGACGAGAAGACCCUAUGGAGCUUUAAUUUAUAAUUUAUUUCUCACAAUAAUAAUCUAAUGAAUAACAAUUGAUUUUAAAUUAAUAAUUUGGUUGGGGUGACCUCGGAGAAUAAAACAACCUCCGAAAGAUUAUAAUUUAGACUAACAAGUCAAGAUAUAAAUAUUAUCAAAUUGACCCAAUUACUUGACCAACGACCAAGUUACCCUAGGGAUAACAGCGCUAUCUUAUUUAAGAGUUCAUAUCGAAAAUAGGGUUUACGACCUCGAUGUUGGAUCAGGAUAUCCCAAUGGUGCAGCAGCUAUUAAUGGUUCGUUUG
rnacentral:rRNA from 1 species